rnacentral:rRNA from 1 species
CUACGGGUGGCUCCAGGUGCGAAGUCUCCACAAUGCGCGAAAGCGUGAUGGGGGAACUCCAAGUGCUUAUCCUCAGGAUAAGCUUUUCUAAGGUGUAAAUAGCCUUGGGAAUAAGGGGUGGGCAAGAUCGGUGCCAGCAGCCGCGGUAACACCGGCGCCCCAAGUGGUAGCCAUGAUUAUUGGGCCUAAAGCAUCCGUAGCCUGACAAAUAAGUCUUUCGUGAAAUCGUGCAGCUUAACUGUACGGCGUGCGAAAGAUACUGUUUAUCUAGGGACUGAGAGGAGCUGAGGGUAUGUCAGAAGUAGGGGUGAAAUCCUGUAAUUUCUGUCAGACCACCGGUGGCGAAGGCGCUCAGCUAGAACAGAUCCGACGGUGAGGGAUGAAAGCCAGGGUAGCAAAUCGGAUUAGAUACCCCAGUAGUC